AGUGGCGGACGGGUGAGUAACGCGUGAGAAUCUGCCUCCAGGUCGGGGACAACAGAGGGAAACUUCUGCUAAUCCCGGAUGAGCCUUAGGGUAAAAAAUUUAUUGCCUGGAGAUGAGCUCGCGUCUGAUUAGCUAGUUGGUAAGGUAAAAGCUUACCAAGGCAACGAUCAGUAGCUGGUCUGAGAGGAUGAGCAGCCACACUGGGACUGAGACACGGCCCAGACUCCUACGGGAGGCAGCAGUGGGGAAUUUUCCGCAAUGGGCGAAAGCCUGACGGAGCAAGACCGCGUGGGGGAGGAAGGCUCUAGGGUUGUAAACCCCUUUUCUUUGGGAAGAACAAAAUGACGGUACCAAAGGAAUCAGCCUCGGCUAACUCCGUGCCAGCAGCCGCGGUAAUACGGAGGAGGCAAGCGUUAUCCGGAAUGAUUGGGCGUAAAGCGUCCGCAGGUGGCAAUGUAAGUCUGCUGUCAAAACCCAGGGCUCAACUCUGGUCAGGCAGUGGAAACUACAUAGCUAGAGUUCGGUAGGGGCAAAGGGAAUUCCCGGUGUAGCGGUGAAAUGCGUAGAGAUCGGGAAGAACAUCGGUGGCGAAAGCGCUUUGCUAGACCGAAACUGACACUCAGGGACGAAAGCUAGGGGAGCGAAUGGGAUUAGAUACCCC
rnacentral:rRNA from 1 species